GGAUUGUGGCUCAGCGGUAGAGCACUCACCUAGCACGUGCAAAGUCCUGGGUUUGAUCCUCAGCACCA
rnacentral:tRNA from 1 species